rnacentral:rRNA from 1 species
AUUGAACGCUGGCGGCAGGCCUAACACAUGCAAGUCGAACGAGUGGCGGACGGGUGAGUAACGUCUGGGAAACUGCCUGAUGGAGGGGGAUAACUACUGGAAACGGUAGCUAAUACCGCAUACCAUCAGAUGUGCCCAGAUGGGAUUAGCUUGUUGGUGGGGUAACAGCUCACCAAGGCGCUGCUCCCUAGCUGGUCUGAGAGGAUGACCAACCAACCGGGGAAGGAGACACGGUCCAAACCCCUAAGGGAGGCAGCAGUGGGAAAUAUUGCACAAUGGGCGCAAGCCUGAUGCAGCCAUGCCGCGUGUAUGAAGAAGGCCUGCGGGUUGUACAGUACUUUCAGCGGGGAGGCGUUACCCGCAGAAGAAGCACCGGCUAACUCCGUGCCAGCAGCCGCGGUAAUUC